UUUGUGUGCUGGGAGAAGCAGUACCGAGAGGAGCUGUGGACGGCACAGAAGAGAGAAUGCCGGUAUAAGUAGCGCGAGGCAUGCGAGAAACAUGCCCGUCGAUAGCCUAAGGUUUCCUGGGGAAGGCUCGUCCGCCCAGGGUAAGUCGGGGCCUAAGCCGAGGACGGAAGUCGUAGGCGAUGGACAGCAGGCAGAGAUUCCUGCACUACCGAAGAUCGUUUGAGUGAAGCAGUGACACAGAAGGAUAGCCUGAGCAGGGUAAUGGUCAUCCUUGUACAAGCGGUGAGGCUGGUGAGUAGUGAAGUACGCUCACUAAGGCUGGGCCGUGAUGUGGAGUGAAAUUUGAAGUAGCGAAGCAGGCGAUUUCACACUGGCGAGAAAAGCUGCUGGCGAGAUCGGAGGUACCCGUACCGCAAACCGACACAGGUAGGUAAGGAGAGAAUCCUAAGACGAACGGGAGAACACUUGUUAAGGAACUCGGCAAAAUGACCCCGUAACUUCGGGAGAAGGGGUGCUGCAGAGAUGCAGCCGCAGAGAAGAGUCCCAAGCGACUGCUUAGCAAAAACACAGGUAUCUGCGAAAGCGAGAGCUGACGUAUAGGUGCUGACACCUGCCCGGUGCUGGAAGGUUAAGGGGAACUGUUAGAGCAAUCGAAGCAGAGAACCGAAGCCCCAGUAAACGGCGGCCGUAACGAUAACGGUCCUAAGGUAGCGAAAUUCCUUGUCGGGUAAGCUCCGACCCGCACGAAUGGUGUAACGACUUGGGAGCUGUCUCAACAAGUGGCCCGGUGAAAUUGAAGUGUGCGUGAAGAUGCACAUUACCCGCGACUGGACGGAAAGACCCCGUAGAGCUUUACUGCAGCCUGAUAUUGGAUUUUGGCAACAAAUGUACAGAAUAGGUGGGAGCCGGAGAGAGCAGAACGCCAGUUUUGCCGGAGGCGCCGUUGGGAUACCACUCUUUUGUUGCCGGAGUUCUAACUUGAAACAGUAAUCCUGGUCAGGGACAGUGUCAGGUGGGCAGUUUGACUGGGGCGGUCGCCUCCUAAAAGGUAACGGAGGCGCUCAAAGGUAUCCUCAGAAUGGAUGGAAACCAUCCGAAGAGCGUAAAGGCAGAAGGAUGCCUGACUGCGAGACUGACAAGUCGAGCAGAGAGGAAACUCGGACUUAGUGACCCGGCGGUAUGAGAGUGGAAUUGCCGUCGCUCAACGGAUAAAAGCUACCUCGGGGAUAACAGGCUGAUCUCCCCCAAGAGUCCACAUCGACGGGGAGGUUUGGCACCUCGAUGUCGGCUCGUCGCAUCCUGGGGCUGAAGCAGGUCCCAAGGGUUUGGCUGUUCGCCAAUUAAAGCGGCACGCGAGCUGGGUUCAGAACGUCGUGAGACAGUUCGGUCCCUAUCCAUCGUGGGCGUAGGAUACAUGAGAGGAGCUGUUCCUAGUACGAGAGGACCGGAAUGGACGUACCUCUGGUGCAACUGUUGUCGUGCCAACGGCAUAGCAGGGAAGCGAAGUACGGACGGGAUAAACGCUGAAGGCAUCUAAGCGUGAAGCCCCCCUCGAGAACAAGUAUCCCACAGCGUAAGCUGGUAAGACCCCUUGCAGACAACAAGGUUGAUAGGUUGACGGUGUAAACGCAGUGAUGCGUGAGCUUGUCAAUACUAAUCGGUCGAGGGCUUGAUU
rnacentral:rRNA from 1 species